rnacentral:rRNA from 1 species
GAUGAACGCUGGCGGCGUGCCUAAUACAUGCAAGUCGAGCGAACGGACGAGAAGCUUGCUUCUCUGAUGUUAGCGGCGGACGGGUGAGUAACACGUGGAUAACCUACCUAUAAGACUGGGAUAACUUCGGGAAACCGGAGCUAAUACCGGAUAAUAUUUUGAACCGCAUGGUUCAAAAGUGAAAGACGGUCUUGCUGUCACUUAUAGAUGGAUCCGCGCUGCAUUAGCUAGUUGGUAAGGUAACGGCUUACCAAGGCAACGAUGCAUAGCCGACCUGAGAGGGUGAUCGGCCACCCUGGAACUGAGACACGGUCCAGACUCCUACGGGGGGCAGCAGUAGGGAAUCGUCCGCAAUGGGCGAAAGCCUGACGGAGCAACGCCGCGUGAGUGAUGAAGGUCUUCGGAUCGUAAAACUCUGUUAUUAGGGAAGAACAUAUGUGUAAGUAACUGUGCACAUCUUGACGGGACCUAAUCAGAAAGCCACGGCUAACUACG